GCACAAGCCCUGUAGAUAACUUCCCCUAAUAGUGUUUCACCCCCAGCAGUAGACACAAACAACAUUGAAUCAAGUUUAUCAGGUGAUACAUUAAGUUUAGAUGAAAAAACAUGUGAAACAAAUGAAUGCAAUGCACCAGUGUCAAAUAAAACAUGAGCAAUAUGGUCACAGAUAGUGUACAUACCCUGUACCACGUCCGGGUCGGCAUCGGUAUCCUGCUGUGUGUGGUUGUAAACCCUGCCCUGAAAACGAGGUCUUCCUUGGUUCUGGUUCCUCAGGCACUCUCU
rnacentral:lncRNA from 1 species